rnacentral:rRNA from 1 species
GAUGAACGCUGGCGGCGUGCUUAACACAUGCAAGUCGAACGGGAAAUAUUUCAUUGAGACUUCGGUGGAUUUGAUUUAUUUCUAGUGGCGGACGGGUGAGUAACACGUGGGUAACCUGCCUUAUACAGGGGGAUAACAGUCAGAAAUGGCUGCUAAUACCGCAUAAGCGCACAGAGCUGCAUGGCUCAGUGUGAAAAACUCUGGUGGUAUAAGAUGGACCCGCGUUGGAUUAGCUAGUUGGUGGGGUAACGGCCCACCAAGGCGACGAUCCAUAGCCGGCCUGAGAGGGUGAACGGCCACAUUGGGACUGAGACACGGCCCAGACUCCUACGGGAGGCAGCAGUGGGGAAUAUUGCACAAUGGGGGAAACCCUGAUGCAGCGACGCCGCGUGAAGGAAGAAGUAUCUCGGUAUGUAAACUUCUAUCAGCAGGGAAGAUAGUGACGGUACCUGACUAAGAAGCCCCGGCUAACUACGUG